rnacentral:rRNA from 1 species
CUGAUUCCCAUAGGACGCGCCGUGAUUCACAGGAUCUCGCCCCGUUCUGAUUUCAAUCAUGGCUCUUCACAGUUAUUGUUUAUUUGAUACAUUAAAUGGAUAACACGUAGAAAAACUAGAGCUAAUACAUGCUUAAACCGUAAGGUUGUAUUUAUUAGAUAUUCCGGAUUGGUGAAUCAUAAUAACUUCGCAAAUCUCGUUUAUGACGAGAUAAAUCAUCCAAGUUUCUGCCCUAUCAUGCUUUCGAUGGUAGUGUAUUGGACUACCAUGGCUUUCACGGGUAACAGGGAAUUAUGCGCACGCGACAAUGUAGAAGGAGCCUGAGAAACGGCUACUACAUCUACGGAAGGCAGCAGGCGCGUAAAUUACCCAAUCCUGACUCAGGGAGGUGGUGACAAGAUAUAACAACGCAAUUUCAUUGUGAUUGUAGUGAGGGUAUUCCAAACCGAACCACUAGUACGAUUAGAGGGCAAGUCUGGUGCCAGCAGCCGCGGUAAUUCCAGCUCUAAUAGCGUAUAUUAAAGUUGCUGCAGUUAAAAGCUCGUAGUUGGAUUUCAGGAUUGUAAACCCUCCGGGGAAUACAUCCUACUAGUCUUCGGACUGUACUGUGAGAAAUUAGGUGUUUCAGCAGCUUUCGCAGAAUAAUUAGCAUGGAAUAACGAAUGUAUUGAACUUGGUAUCCAAAUACCAAUAAAAAGACAGUUGGGGCCUAUAUUUAUUGUGCAAGAGAAAUCUGUGUUUUGUAAACACAAAAGCAAACAUUUCCGAGAUUC